rnacentral:lncRNA from 1 species
UUACAGUAUCAACUAUCAUAAAUGCUACUGUUAUUCCGGGUUCAACUCCACCACCACUCGCUACUAUGGGUCCAAUAAGUAUGUCGGAAAUAGUUUAUAAUACUAUAAAUUCAUAUAUUUUAUAUAUUAUAGUGCCUUCUAAUACAACAACUACCAAGCGUCCAAUAAGUAUGAAUAAAAAAAUAUUUAAUACUUUGUUUUGAUAUAUAACAUGUAUAAGCUCAUUUAUCUUUGAGCAGUUUGUAGAGAUCUGAGUCGCAAAUGUCGUUAUAAAAAGUUUAAAUGUAGAUGGAAUGCAAAUGUUAGAAGAAAUUGUCCUAAGACAUGCGAACUCUGCGAAUCUAAACCAAAGAUAUGCUAUGACUUUUGGGGAGCAUUCACAUGUCAGUGGAAAAGGUUUCUAUGUUCGACAUUUACUGUUAGAAGAAACUGCCGGAGAACUUGUCGCGCUUGCCGAUAAACUGUACUAAUUAUGAAUUCAAAUAUCCCAGUAUAUGUUAUGAAUUAUUUUUAUAAACAAAAUUAAGUAAUUUGUAUACAUAUUGACAAUUAAGGCAUAAUUUUUAUUAUGAUUGCA